GGGAGCAAAAGAGUGAUGGACGUUGAGACCUAUUCGUACAAUUUAAGGGGUGUAUAAACGAUCACUUUCAUCAUGAAUACCCAAGAACAGCAAAAAAUGACGUAUAUUAGUUGGACACACAAACAAUUCUAUCACAAGGAAAAAGAUGUUACUUAUAGAAAUCUUCAGAACUGACAUAUUUAAGAUGGAAGGAUAAGAAACGUGGCAUGUUAGAUUCAUAUGCCGGUAUUUUCUUGGAGAAAAGUUGGCUAGUUUUGCCUUUUCGUGUAAUAUCAAUUUGUGAGACUAGGUCAGAAACUGCAGCUAGAGUGCCCAUUUGGAAGUCACUCAUAGUACGAAACGCCUCCCAUUUAUCAGCUUCCAGGAUAACAGAGCAUAUAUCCUUUGAUUAUGGCACGACCCAGCGGGGCAUAAAUUGCCCAGAGUUGGUUCACCAAUCGCGUAAGGAAGGGGAUAGUCCCCACCAUCACAUGCCUGAAAGAGUCGUUUGAACCACGGAAGACUGCGCCAAUGCCUCAAGUGUUACCAAUUUCAGAAGGAACGAGAGAAUGUGUUCCAUGAACGUUUACUUUCAGAGUGCCUGGGUUGGGUGGAAUCCAGUGAUAUGCCAUGUUUGCGCUGUUGAAAAAGAAAGUAGAGCCCCGAAUUUUUAUGGCUGCAUACUUGCAAAAUUUGGAGAAGAUUUGUACUACUUAACGUUUGUAAGUAAAUGCUCGACUGAAGCUUGAGAAGAACCACCUGAGUUCAUCAUUGCUAAUACAGUUGACUUACACAUGGAACUCAGCAUGUAUUAGCAAGUGAAGAUACGGAAUCAAUGUAGGGAGUUCCAUGCAAGUUAAUAUACUUUGAUAAUUCUAUAUGAAGCAGUCUAGUAAUGACAACAAAAGUAGCCCUCUCUUGCAGGUCCAUGAUGAAAGCCAAUUAAAAGAAUUUUGCCAAGCAUAACUUCAUGUUUUCUGCCGACCACAAAGCAUGACCUACUAAAUUAAUGUUUUUGACGUAGUAAAGCAGCAUCUCAACUAGAGAAGCGUGAAGUACAGAGAAAGGCAAGGCCCUCUCUUUCCUUGUCACACCUAUGGAAAGUACUUCUCACGCAAGGCAAGGAGAG
rnacentral:lncRNA from 1 species